AGUCGAGCGGACAGAAGGGAGCUUGCUCCCUGAUGUUAGCGGCGGACGGGUGAGUAACACGCUGGGUAACCUGCCUGUAAGACUGGGAUAACUCCGGGAAACCGGAGCUAAUACCGGAUAGUUCCUUGAACCGCAUGGUUCAAGGAUGAAAGACGGUUUCGGCUGUCACUUACAGAUGGACCCGCGGCGCAUUAGCUAGUUGGUGGGGUAAUGGCUCACCAAGGCGACGAUGCNUAGCCGACCUGAGAGGGUGAUCGGCCACACUGGGACUGAGACACGGCCCAGACUCCUACGGGAGGCAGCAGUAGGGAAUCUUCCGCAAUGGACGAAAGUCUGACGGAGCAACGCCGCGUGAGUGAUGAAGGUUUUCGGAUCGUAAAGCUCUGUUGUUAGGGAAGAACAAGUGCGAGAGUAACUGCUCGCACCUUGACGGUACCUAACCAGAAAGCCACGGCUAACUACGUGCCAGCAGCCGCGGUAAUACGUAGGUGGCAAGCGUUGUCCGGAAUUAUUGGGCGUAAAGGGCUCGCAGGCGGUUUCUUAAGUCUGAUGUGAAAGCCCCCGGCUCAACCGGGGAGGGUCAUUGGAAACUGGGAAACUUGAGUGCAGAAGAGGAGAGUGGAAUUCCACGUGUAGCGGUGAAAUGCGUAAGAUGUGGAGGAACACCAGUGGCGAAGGCGACUCUCUGGUCUGUAACUGACGCUGAGGAGCGAAAGCGUGGGGAGCGAACAGGAUUAGAUACCCUGGUAGUCCACGCCGUAAACGAUGAGUGCUAAGUG
rnacentral:rRNA from 1 species